UACGGAGGGUGCGAGCGUUAUCCGGAUUUACUGGGUUUAAAGGGUGCGUAGGUGGGCUAGUAAGUCCGUGGUGAAAUCUUUGGGCUUAACCCGAAAACUGCCAUUGAUACUAUCUGUCUUGAAUUAUCUGGAGGUAAGCGGAAUAUGUCAUGUAGCGGUGAAAUGCUUAGAUAUGACAUAGAACACCCAUUGCGAAGGCAGCUUACUACGGAUAUAUUGACACUGAGGCUCGAAAGCGUGGGGAUCAAACAGG
rnacentral:rRNA from 1 species